rnacentral:tRNA from 1 species
AGAAACUUAGGAUAAACAGACCAAAGGCCUUCAAAGCCUUAAGUGGAAGUGAGAAUCUUCCAGUCUCUG